rnacentral:tRNA from 1 species
CAAGGAAUAGUUUAAGUAGAAUUUCAGCUU